GACGAACGCUGGCGGCGUGCUUAACACAUGCAAGUCGAACGGAAAGGCCCUGCUUUUGUGGGGUGCUCGAGUGGCGAACGGGUGAGUAACACGUGAGUAACCUGCCCUUGACUUUGGGAUAACUUCAGGAAACUGGGGCUAAUACCGGAUAGGAGCUCCUGCUGCAUGGUGGGGGUUGGAAAGUUUCGGCGGUUGGGGAUGGACUCGCGGCUUAUCAGCUUGUUGGUGGGGUAGUGGCUUACCAAGGCUUUGACGGGUAGCCGGCCUGAGAGGGUGACCGGGCACACUGGGGCUGAGUGACGGACCAGACGCCUACGGGAGGCAGCAGUGGGGAAUAUUGCACAAUGGGCUGAGGCCUGAUGCAGCAACGCCGCGUGCGGGAUGACGGCCUUCGGGUUGUAAACCGCUUUCGCCUGUGACGCAGCGUGAGUGACGGGAAUGGGUAAAGACGCACCGGCUAACUACGUG
rnacentral:rRNA from 1 species